rnacentral:misc_RNA from 1 species
GAUGAAGAACGCAGCGAAAUGCGAUAAGUAGUGUGAAUUGCAGAAUUCAGUGAAUCAUCGAAUCUUUGAACGCACAUUGCGCCCUUUGGUAUUCCAAAGGGCAUGCCUGUUCGAGCGUCAUUUGUACCCUCAAGCUUUGCUUGGUGUUGGGCGUCUUGUCUCCAGUUCGCUGGAGACUCGCCUUAAAGUAAUUGGCAGCCGGCCUACUGGUUUCGGAGCGCAGCACAAGUCGCGCUCUCUUCCAGCCAAGGUCAGCAUCCACAAAGCCUUUUUUCAACUUUUGACCUCGGAUCAGGUAGGGAUACCCGCUGAACUUAAGCAUAUCAAUAAGCAGAGGA